CCUACUCCAUCCCGAACUAGGAGGUGAAACGCUGCAGCGGCGAAGAUACUUGGUGGGUGACUGCCUGGGAAAAUAGCUCGGUGCCAGGG
rnacentral:rRNA from 1 species